rnacentral:rRNA from 1 species
CCUACGGGUGGCAGCAGUGGGGAAUAUUGCACAAUGGGGGAAACCCUGAUGCAGCAACGCCGCGUGAGUGAAGAAGUAUUUCGGUAUGUAAAGCUCUAUCAGCAGGGAAGAAGAUGACGGUACCUGAGUAAGAAGCCCCGGCUAACUACGUGCCAGCAGCCGCGGUAAUACGUAGGGGGCAAGCGUUAUCCGGAUUUACUGGGUGUAAAGGGAGCGUAGACGGUGCAGCAAGUCUGAUGUGAAAGCCCGGGGCUCAACCGCGGGACUGCAUUGGAAACUGGCUGACUGGAGUGCUGGAGGGGAAAGCGGAAUUCAUAGGGGAGCGGUGAAAUGCGGAGAUAGUAGGAAGAAGACCAGGGGCGAAGGCGGCUUGCUGGACAGUAACUGACGUUGAGGCUCGAAAGCGUGGGGAGCAAACAGGAGUAGAUACCCUGGUAGUC